rnacentral:rRNA from 1 species
CAAUAGCGUAUAUUUAAGUUGUUGCAGUUAAAAAGCUCGUAGUUGGAUUUCUGCUGAUCGCUGUCGGUCUGCCGUCAGGUGUGUACUGGCAGUGUUUGGCAUCUAUUCGAGAUUGGGUGUCCACUUGAUUGUGUGCACUCGAUGUCGGAGCUAAUACUUUGAGAAAAUUAGAGUGUUCCACGCAGGCGCGUGCCUUGAAUACUGCAGCAUGGGAUAUUGGAAGGCCGAUUGAGCUUUCUUGUUGGUUCUCGGUUUGAUCGGAAUGAUUAAUAGGGAUAGUUGGGGGCAUUCGUAUUCAACUGUCGGAGGUGAAAUUCUUGGAUUUGUUGAAGACGGACUACUGCGAAAGCAUCUGCCAUGGAUGUUCUCAUUG